rnacentral:rRNA from 1 species
UCUUGACAUCCACGGAAUUUAGCAGAGAUGCUUUAGUGCCUUCGGGAACCGUGAGACAGGUGCUGCAUGGCUGUCGUCAGCUCGUGUUGUGAAAUGUUGGGUUAAGUCCCGCAACGAGCGCAACCCUUAUCCUUUGUUGCCAGCGGUUCGGCCGGGAACUCAAAGGAGACUGCCAGUGAUAAACUGGAGGAAGGUGGGGAUGACGUCAAGUCAUCAUGGCCCUUACGAGUAGGGCUACACACGUGCUACAAUGGCGUAUACAAAGAGAAGCGACCUCGCGAGAGCAAGCGGACCUCAUAAAGUACGUCGUAGUCCGGAUUGGAGUCUGCAACUCGACUCCAUGAAGUCGGAAUCGCUAGUAAUCGUGGAUCAGAAUGCUACGGUGAAUACGUUCCCGGGCCUUGUACACACCGCCCGUCACACCAUGGGAGUGGGUUGCAAAAGAAGUAGGUAGCUUAACCUUCGGGAGGGCGCUUACCACUUUGUGAUUCAUGACUGGGGUGAAGUCGUAACAAGGUAGGCGUAGAUGA